CAGAUCUCCAGGUUCAAAGCAUCAGUCCACCAGAUCUCCAGGCUCAAAGCGUCAGUCCACCAGCUGAACUCUCAGUCAGACUGGUGAAUGGGACCACUUCCUGUUCUGGGACAGUGGAAAUCUUCAAUGAAGGAGAGUGGUUAGGUCUUUGUACUAGU